rnacentral:rRNA from 1 species
CCUACGGGAGGCAGCAGUGAGGAAUAUUGGUCAAUGGACGCAAGUCUGAACCAGCCAUGCCGCGUGCAGGAAGACGGCUCUAUGAGUUGUAAACUGCUUUUGUACGAGGGUAAACGCAGAUACGCGUAUCUGUCUGAAAGUAUCGUACGAAUAAGGAUCGGCUAACUCCGUGCCAGCAGCCGCGGUAAUACGGAGGAUUCAAGCGUUAUCCGGAUUUAUUGGGUUUAAAGGGUGCGUAGGCGGUCGGAUAAGUUAGAGGUGAAAUCCCGAGGCUCAACUUCGGAAUUGCUUCUGAUACUGUUCGGCGAGAGAGUAGUUGCGGUAGGCGGAAUGUAUGGUGUAGCGGUGAAAUGCUUAGAGAUCAUACAGAACACCGAUUGCGAAGGCAGCUUACCAAGCUACUUCUGACGUUGAGGCACGAAAGCGUGGGGAGCAAACAGGAUUAGAUACCCCAGUAGUC